UACGGGGGGGGCGAGCGUUGUUCGGAAUUACUGGGCGUAAAGGGUUUGUAGGUGGUCUGCUAAGUCAGACGUGAAAUCCCUCAGCUUAACUGGGGAACUGCGUCUGAUACUGGCGGACUUGAGGACAGGAGAGGAACGCGGAAUUCCAGGUGUAGCGGUGAAAUGCGUAGAUAUCUGGAGGAACACCGGUGGCGAAGGCGGCGUCCUGGACUGGUACUGACGCUCAGGAGCGAAAGCGUGGGGAGCAAACAGG
rnacentral:rRNA from 1 species